GUGUGUGUGUUCAUAUGACGUCAUUCUUUCAUGUCCACCUGAAGAUAAACAUUUGAGAAAGCGGGAGGUUCGCGUGUACACACGUGACCAUAGGUCGGCGGUGGCGUCAUUGUGUUCCGGGUCUCGCUGUCGCUCAUUUAAACAUCAACAUUACCGAAAAUCAUCAAAAGACCGGCGCCGCCUGCUCGGGUCAGCACGGAGUUGGUUAACGGUAUCGGUUUAAUGCUCCGAGUCUGCCCGGGUGUCGUGGGGGGUGCCGGUGACGCAGGAAAACAGCCGCGGCGACAUGGAGGAGCACCGGCUGCAGACUCGGUGAGAGACCCGCACUCCACCGGGAGCUGCUGCGACGCGUUUCUGCACGCCUGAAGCGUGCGUGUGUGUGUGUGUGUGUGUGUGUUUGUUUGUUUGUUUGUUUGUUUGUUUGUUUGUUUGUUUGUCUGACGAGUAAAUAGGCUGUUGACGGUCCUCUGAAGCUGGAUUUAUACUUACGCCUGGCGCCGGAUCGCGCACCUCCGCUGACUGCGCGUGCACCUCGCGAAACGAACGAGGCUCAGUGCACACUCAGUCAACUUAUGGGGCUGCGAGGCGCUGUUGGAGUGGGAGUAUCUGCCUCCGGUGAGUCCGCGGCCCAAUAAAGGCUUCGUGGGCCUGAAGAACGCCGGCACCACCUGCUACAUGAACUCCGUCAUCCAGCAGCUCUACAUGAUCCCGCUGGUCCAAAACGCCAUCCUGGCCGUCGACGGCACCAGCAGUGAAAUCGAGGAUGAACCAUCCGGAGACGAGAAGCAGGACAGCGACGUAAAACACUCCAGCGAUGCUCCAGAGUAAACACUAACGUGGACCCGCAGGAUGACGUCUUCAGUCUUCAGCAGCAGUGUGAGGAUAAGCUGUCUCUCAGUAAGGUCGAGGACCACCGGGACUACAUCGUCUCAGUGCUGCGCCACCUGCAUCUGAUCUUGGGCCACCGGGCGACAUCAUGGCUGCAGUAUUACGAGACUCGAGGCUUCUGGAAGCGGUUCAGGCUGUGAGGGGAGAAGGUGAAUCUGCGAGAGCAGCACGAUGCUCUGGAGUUCUUCAACAGUCUGGACGAGGCUCUGAAAGCGUUCGGGCAUCCCAGCAUGCUCAGCAGGAUCCUGGGCGGCUCCUUUGCGGAUCAGAAGAUCUGUCUGGGCUGUCCUCACCGGUGGACACUGUGAUGCGCAUCCUUAUAAAGAGCCUCCUGCCGGUGCUGGCCAUUCAGCUGAAGUGAUUCGAUUACGACUGGUAGCACGAGUGUGCAAUGAAGUUUAACGAUUAAUUCGAGUUCCUGCGAGAGCUGGAUAUGGAGCCCUACACAGUGGCAGGCGUGGCCAAGCUGGAGAGCGACGAGGCGCUGCUGGAGAGCCGGGUUCCUCCUGAGGAGGGCAGCAGCUCCCUCUACAGGCUGGUGGGGGUGCUGGUGCACUCGGGACAGGCCAGUGGAGGACACUACUACUCCUACAUCCUCCAGCGGGGCAGCGGCGGCAGCAACGGACUGAUCCACCACUGGUACAAGUUUGACAACGCCGACAUGACUGAGUGCAAGAUGGAGGACGACGAGGAGAUGAAGAAAGAGUGUUUCAGUGGAGAAUACAUGGGCGAGGUGUUCAACCACAUGAUGAAGCGCAUGUCUUACCAGCGGCAGAAGCUCUGGUGGAACACCUACAUCCUGUUUUACGAGUGCGCGGGUGCUGCAGGGGGUGACGUUGAGCUGCUGACAGGCAUCACCCAGCUGACGCUCAUGCCGCGGCACAACCCACCUACCAUGCCCUCCACCAUCGAGGCCCGCAUUCGCAAGCAGAACUGCAGCUCAUACACAGCCACAUGCAGUACAGCCCCGAGUACUUCCUGUUCAUCAAGAAACUGCUGACCUGCAACUCUGUCUACCUGAACCCUCCUCCAGGUCAGGAUCAUCUUCUACCAGAAGCUGAAGAAAUCACGAUGAGCAGUUUCCAGCUCGCCGCCAGGUUUCUGUUCAGCACCGGAUUCCACACUAAGAAGACGGUCCACGGGCCUGCGAGCGACUGACCUGUAGACGAGGCCUGCACUAUAUUAGACUGUGUGGAUCUGCAGAAAACAGUCCAGAACACACUGCAGACAGUGCUUUAUUCCAUAAGAGGUUCGUCUUGUUUCUAGUCCAAAUAUCUAAAACCUCUUUAAUCAAGAAGCGUUUUCUAGAGUUUGUCCUAAAUCAGGCAGAAUAAUCUCACAUUAAAAUGGAAAACAAACACGUUGUAGAAAAUGCUUCUUGAUUUAAGAACUCAUAGAUAUUCAGUCUAGAAACUGACUGUAAGGUAAGUGUUGUCUGCUGUGUGCAGUGUCAGAUCAUCAGCUCCAGUAUUAGAGGCUCAUAUCUGCCCUCAGGCCCCUUGACGUGUGUGUGUGUGUGUGUGUGUGUGUGUGUG